rnacentral:pre_miRNA from 1 species
CAAAUACUCCCUCUGUCCGGAAAUACUUGUCAUCAAAAUGGAUAAAAGGAGAUGUAUCUAGACGUAUUUUAGUUUUAGAUACAUCCCUUUUUAUCCAUUUUGAUGACAAGUAUUUUCGGACGGAGGGAGUAUAUG